rnacentral:tRNA from 1 species
GGGUGUAUAGCUCAGACGGUUAGAGCGCACGCCUGAUAAGCGUGAGGUCCCAAGUUCGACUCUUGGUACGCCCA